CCACUGGAGCAGCAGCCUCCUCACCAUUGGCCUCCUCAUCAACAGCGGGGACCUCUUCGACCAGAGCCUCCUCACCCUUCGGGGUGUCCUCCGCUACAGGUGCGGGGGCAGCCUCCUGCUCAACCUCGGCACUCUCGAACACUGCCUCCGGCUCACCCACAACUUCUGGUACCGCCUCAUCGCUCGCAAUCGACAGCUCCACUUCGCCCGACUCCACCUCAGGAGCCGCCUCCUCAGUCACGCUUGCAUUCGAUGCCUCCAGUGCAGAAACCUUCACCAUUGGGGCCUCUGGCUCUCCAGCCUCUGGCACAAUCUCGGCAUCCUUCGAAUCCUCCACCACUGAGAAAGCAGCCUCCACAGCAUUGGCCUCCUCAUCAACAGCGGAGACCUCUUCGACCAGAGCCUCCUCAACCAUCGGGGUCUCCUCCGCUACAGGUGCGGGGGCAGCCUCCUCCUCAACCUCGGCACUCUCGAGCACUGCCUCCGGCUCACCCACAACUUCUGGUACCGCCUCAUCGCUCGCAAUCGGCAGCUCCACUUCGCGCGACUCCACUUCAGGAGCCGCUUCCUCAGUCACGCUUGCAUCGGGUGCCUCCGGUGCAGCAACCUCUGCCACUGGAGCCUCUGGCGCAACCUCGGCAUCCUUUGCCUCCUCCACCACUGGAGCAGCAGCCUCCUCACCAUUGGCCUCCUCAUCAACAGCGGGGACCUCUUCGACCAGAGCCUCCUCACCCUUCGGGGUAUCCUCCGCUACAG
rnacentral:lncRNA from 1 species